AAGAUAGGAUCUAUUUUAUUGACAGGAUUUAUCACUACUUUAGCUACUUUAGCAGCUUGGCCAAUUACACGGAAUUCGUGAUUAUUCUAUUUGUUGGUGCUCGCUAUGUAUAGUGGUCACAUAGGAUUAUUUUCUUUGCGAGACCUUUUACUAUUUUUUAUCAUGUGGGAGUUAGAAUUAAUUCUUGUUUACUUACUUUUAUCCCAGUGAAGCGGCCCCAGGUGUAAGAAUGCCCAGAUAUCAUGUGGGAAUGGACAGGAUUUAUCGCUUCACUCGCAGCAAACCAUCAGGUUGCAUCGAUAUCAUAUCUUUAUCACCAAAAUAAAACAUGAAUCGUGCUACUCAUUACCUACAGGUCCUGACCAAUGUAGUUCAAUGGCCAGCCCUUCCCCCUGCGGUUGUACCAAGCGACGGCCCAUACAUACCCGUCGACGGAGCCACUUCGCCCAACUCACAACAGCUGUCGUCGGCUCGCUCAUCUCCCUCACAGAACAGCAUCGCUUCACUCGCAGCAAACCAUCAGGCUGCAUCGAUAUCAUAUCUUUAUCACCAAAAUAA
rnacentral:rRNA from 1 species